rnacentral:rRNA from 1 species
ACGGAAGGCAGCAGCUAGGAAUAUUCCGCAAUGGACGAAAGUCUGACGGAGCGACGCCGCGUGGAUGAUGAAGGCCGGAAGGUUGUAAAAUCCUUUUGAAUGAGACGAAUAAGCAGGUCAGGGAAUGGGUUUGUGGUGACGGUAUCAUUUGAAUAAGCAACGGCUAAUUACGUGCCAGCAGCCGCGGUAACACGUAAGUUGCGAGCGUUGUUCGGAAUUAUUGGGCGUAAAGGGCAUGUAGGCGGUUCUGCAAGCUUGGUGUGAAAUCCCGGAGCUUAACUCCGGAACUGCAUCGAGAACUGCAGGACUAGAAUUACUGAAGGGUAACUGGAAUUCCAAGUGUAGGGGUGAAAUCUGUAGAUAUUUGGAAGAACACCAAUGGCGAAGGCAAGUUGCUGGCAGAUAAUUGACGCUGAGGUGCGAAGGUGCGGGGAGCAAACAGGAUUAGAUACCCUGGUA